AUUUAAUAUAUUAUUUUUAAAUUUUGUUUAAUUAUUAUUUUAAUAAAAGUAAUUUUAUUGAUUUUUGUCUUAGUAUGUUUUAUAGAAUAGAUUUUUUUAAUUAUAGUUUAUUAGUAAUGUAAAUGUUUUAUGAAAUAUUAAUAAAAGUUUGAAAAAGUAAUUUUUAUUUAUUGUACCUUUUGUAUCAGGGUUUAUCAAAAUUUUAUUAUUUAUUUAAUAUUCUCAAUUUAGGUUGAUUUAUAAACCAUUUAAAGUUAAUGUUUUAUAAUUAUUAUAAAAUGGUUUAUUGAAAUGAAAUGUUAGUCGUUUCCUAAGGUAUUUAGUUUUUUAAGAAAAAAUUUAAUUUUUUGAAGUUAAUGUUUUAUUUAAUUUUUUAAUUGUUAAUAUUAACUUAUUAAUUCUUUAAGGGAUAAGCUUUGAAGAUAAAAUAUUCUAUAAUUUAUUAAUUAAUAAUAUAAUAAUAAGCUUUAAAUCAGCUAUUUUUAGAUUACGUUUUAGUUCAUUGUUAUAAUUUUUGAUUUUAUAAUUAUUUUAGAUUUUUUAUUAAGAUAAUAAAUUUAAUUUAUAAAUUUAUGAAAUAAUGAUGGAAUUAGUAUAUUAUAUUUGUUUAUAACAUUUUAUUUAUAUAAUUUAUUAUAAGGAAUUAGGCAAAAUUUGAUUUCCGCCUGUUUAUCAAAAACAUGUCCUCUUGAUUAUAUUUUGAGGUCUGUCCUGCUCACUGAUAUAAUUUAAGAGCCGCGGUAUUUUGACCGUGCAAAGGUAGCAUAAUCAUUAGUCUUUUAAUUAAGGGCUAGAAUGAAUGGUUUGACGAGAAAUCAACUGUCUCUUAAUAAUUAUUAUAAUUUAACUUUUAAGUCAAAAGGCUUAAAUUUUUCUUUAGGACGAGAAGACCCUAUAGAGCUUAACAUUAAUGAUUGUAUGUAUAUUUUGGAUGAUCUUUUUAUAUUUUAUUAUAAUGUUUUGUUGGGGUGACAUGAAGAAUUAAUAAACUCUUCAUUUUAAAAUCAUUAAUUUAUGUAUAUUUUGAUCCAUAAUUUAUGAUCAAAAGAUUAAGUUACCUUAGGGAUAACAGCGUAAUUGUUUUUUAGAGCUCUUAUCAACAAAACAGAUUGCGACCUCGAUGUUGGAUUAAGAAAAAUUUUGGGUGCAGUAGCUCAUUAAUUAGGUCUGUUCGACCUUUAAAUUCUUACAUGAUCUGAGUUCAGACCGGCGUGAGCCAGGUCGGUUUCUAUCCUAAGAUUAUAAAUUUAUAUUAGUACGAGAGGACCAUAUAAAUAAAAUAAUUUUUAAUAUUGUGAUUUAAAUUAAUUUAU
rnacentral:rRNA from 1 species